UACGAAGGGGGCUAGCGUUGCUCGGAAUUACUGGGCGUAAAGCGCACGUAGGCGGCUCUUUAAGUCGGGGGUGAAAUCCUGGAGCUCAACUCCAGAACUGCCUUCGAUACUGGAGAGCUCGAGUCCGGGAGAGGUGAGUGGAACUGCGAGUGUAGAGGUGAAAUUCGUAGAUAUUCGCAAGAACACCAGUGGCGAAGGCGGCUCACUGGCCCGGUACUGACGCUGAGGCGCGAAAGCGUGGGGAGCAAACAGG
rnacentral:rRNA from 1 species